rnacentral:rRNA from 1 species
UACGGGGGGGGCAAGCGUUGUUCGGAAUUACUGGGCGUAAAGGGCUCGUAGGUGGCCAACUAAGUCAGACGUGAAAUCCCUCGGCUUAACCGGGGAACUGCGUCUGAUACUGGAUGGCUUGAGAUUGGGAGAGGGAUGCGGAAUUCCAGGUGUAGCGGUGAAAUGCGUAGAUAUCGGAAGGAACACCAGUGGCGAAAGCGGCUUCCUGGUCCAGCACCGACGUUCAGGCACGAAAGCGUGGGGAGCAAACGGG